UACGAAGGGGGCUAGCGUUGCUCGGAAUCACUGGGCGUAAAGCGCACGUAGGCGGCUCGUUAAGUCGGAGGUGAAAUCCUGGAGCUCAACUCCAGAACUGCCUUCGAUACUGGCGAUCUUGGAGUCCGGGAGAGGUGAGUGGAACUCCGAGUGUAGAGGUGAAAUUCGUAGAUAUUCGGAAGAACACCAGUGGCGAAGGCGGCUCACUGGCCCGGUACUGACGCUGAGGUGCGAAAGCGUGGGGAGCAAACAGG
rnacentral:rRNA from 1 species